rnacentral:rRNA from 1 species
CUUGGUGAUUCUAGCGAGCUGGCCACACCCGUUCCCAUCCCGAACACGGCAGUUAAGCAGCUCAGCGCCGAUGGUAGUGCGUCUUAUGGCGUGCCAGAGUAGGUCAUCGCCAGGG